rnacentral:tRNA from 1 species
AGGGCAUUCGCCAAGUGGUAAGGCACAGCACUUUGACUGCUGCAUACGUUGGUUCAAAUCCAACAUGCCCUG